rnacentral:tRNA from 1 species
GGACGAUUAGCUCAGCUGGCUAGAGCACUGCCUUGACAUGGCAGGGGUCGGAGGUUCAAGUCCUCUAUCGUCCACCA